rnacentral:rRNA from 1 species
UAGGGAAUCUUCGGCAAUGGACGGAAGUCUGACCGAGCAACGCCGCGUGAGUGAAGAAGGUUUUCGGAUCGUAAAGCUCUGUUGUAAGAGAAGAACGAGUGUGAGAGUGGAAAGUUCACACUGUGACGGUAUCUUACCAAAAGGGGAGGGAUAACUACGUGCCAGCAGCCGCGGUAAUACGUAGGUCCCGAGCGUUGUCCGGAUUUAUUGGGCGUAAAGCGAGCGCAGGCGGUUAGAUAAGUCUGAAGUUAAAGGCUGUGGCUUAACCAUAGUAGGCUUUGGAAACUGUUUAACUUGAGUGCAAGAGAGGAGAGUGGAAUUCCAUGUGUAGCGGUGAAAUGCGUAGAUAUAUGGAGGAACACCGGUGGCGAAAGCGGCUCUCUGGCUUGUAACUGACGCUGAGGCUCGAAAGCGUGGGGAGCAAACAGGAUUAGAUACCCUGGUAGUCCACGCUGUAAACGAUGAGUGCUAGGUGUUAGACCCUUUCCGGGGUUUAGUGCCGUAGCUAACGCAUUAAGCACUCCGCCUGGGGAGUACGACCGCAAGGUUG